UAGAAUAAAGCUCGCUGGAUAGAGUAUUUAGCUGUUAACUAAAAAUUUAUGGGAUCAAGGCCCGUUUUUCUAG
rnacentral:tRNA from 1 species